rnacentral:rRNA from 1 species
GACGAACGCUGGCGGCGUGCUUAACACAUGCAAGUCGAACGGAAAGGCCCUGCUUUUGUGGGGUGCUCGAGUGGCGAACGGGUGAGUAACACGUGAGUAACCUGCCCUUGACUUUGGGAUAACUUCAGGAAACUGGGGCUAAUACCGGAUAGGAGCUCCUGCUGCAUGGUGGGGGUUGGAAAGUUUCGGCGGUUGGGGAUGGACUCGCGGCUUAUCAGCUUGUUGGUGGGGUAGUGGCUUACCAAGGCUUUGACGGGUAGCCGGCCUGAGAGGGUGACCGGCCACAUUGGGACUGAGAUACGGCCCAGACUCCUACGGGAGGCAGCAGUGGGGAAUAUUGCACAAUGGGCGGAAGCCUGAUGCAGCAACGCCGCGUGCGGGAUGACGGCCUUCGGGUUGUAAACCGCUUUCGCCUGUGACGAAGCGUGAGUGACGGUAAUGGGUAAAGAAGCACCGGCUAACUACGUGCCAGCAGCCGCGGUGAUACCUAGGGUGCCAGCGUUGUCCCGGAUUUAUUGGGCGUAAAGGGCUCGUAGGUGGUUGAUCGCGUCGGAAGUGUAAUCUUGGGGCUUAACCCUGAGCGUGCUUUCGAUACGGGUUGACUUGAGGGAAGGUAGGGGAGAAUGGAAUUCCUGGUGGAGCGGUGGAAUGCGCAGAUAUCAGGAGGAACACCAGUGGCGAAGGCGGUUCUCUGGGCCUUUCCUGACGCUGAGGAGCGAAAGCGUGGGGAGUGAACAGGCUUAGAUACCCUGGUAGUCCACGCUGUAAACGGUGGGUACUAGGUGUGGGGUCCAUUCCACGGGUUCCGUGCCGUAGCUAACGCUUUAAGUACCCCGCCUGGGGAGUACGGCCGCAAGGCUAAAACUCAAAGGAAUUGACGGGGCCCCGCACAAGCGGCGGAGCAUGCGGAUUAAUUCGAUGCAACGCGUAGAACCUUACCUGGGUUUGACAUGGAUCGGGAGUGCUCAGAGAUGGGUGUGCCUCUUUUGGGGUCGGUUCACAGGUGGUGCAUGGCUGUCGUCAGCUCGUGUCGUGAGAUGUUGGGUUAAGUCCCGCAACGAGCGCAACCCUUGUUCACUGUUGCCAGCACGUUAUGGUGGGGACUCAGUGGAGACCGCCGGGGUCAACUCGGAGGAAGGUGGGGAUGACGUCAAGUCAUCAUGCCCCUUAUGUCCAGGGCUUCACGCAUGCUACAAUGGCUGAUACAGAGAGUGGCGAGCCUGUGAGGGUGAGCGAAUCUCGGAAAGCCGGUCUCAGUUCGGAUUGGGGUCUGCAACUCGACCUCAUGAAGUCGGAGUCGCUAGUAAUCGCAGAUCAGCAACGCUGCGGUGAAUACGUUCCCGGG